rnacentral:lncRNA from 1 species
AUUGAUUGGAUGUUCUUUUCUUCUGCUACCACAUUCUUUUCUAUGUGUUUCAAAGCGAGGAAGGCUUGCAGUUCUGAAGCGUACUGUUUUAUAUAAGCAAUGUUUGUUUUGUGUUCUGUGUUCUCUUUAUCCUUGUCUAAUAAUGAUUUCAGUAGCCGUCGGAUUUUGUUACUUUCUUCUUCUUCUCUCGUUUUUAAAUCUUUCAAUA